AGAUUGCAGCCCAGAAUGAGAACAGGAGGCCUAUCACGGCAGGAAUGGUGAAUAAGGACAUGAAAAUAUCCAAAUGACAAAAUCCAGUUGGGUUUCCAAAACACUCUUGAAAAGGCCACUCACCUAAGGUUUUUGAAGAGCUACCACUGUGGGAUAAUCAUGUGGAGUGAAUGCUUCUUGCUAUUUCUACUAAAAAUGUAAGAAUCUCAUACAACAUGUCAUGCAGUUUCAAGGAGACUAUUUUCUUUUUGAAGAAGUAGGAGGUGGGAGAUCACUGAAAAGAGCAAACAAGCAAGCUGUUUCAUUGAGAAAGGAAACAGUGAAACCUGGUUUCCUACAGAUCUGUGCUGACCAGCCCAGCACCAAACAUCAUAGAAAAGUAUGGUCAGCUUUAAACAAAGAGCAAGAACUACAACUACGUGAUUCAGAGGGUCAGACAAUCUGAAAAAAGAACAAGUCACCAUUUAGCCUAACAGGCCCAGACCAGCCUCAUUCAUUCAGCCUCUACCCGGCACUCAAAGGAGCCCCAUUUCAGCUUGUC
rnacentral:lncRNA from 1 species